AGCAUUAAGAAAGUAAGAAAUCUACUUGAUGGGUGCAAAAGUAAAAUCCUCUUUUGCAACCCCAAACUCAUUGCUCAAUGUGAGCUUUGAACCUUAUAAGAAGGAGUAUU
rnacentral:snoRNA from 1 species